CUUGGUGACAAUAGCGUUUUGGACCCACCUGACCCCAUGCCGAACUCAGUAGUGAAACGAAACAGCGCCGAUGAUAG
rnacentral:rRNA from 4 species